GUUGAAUCAUUAAGCCAGCGGUCGAACUACUGAUCUAUUGACCUGCUGCAUUAUUCAGAUUAGUGUCUGAGUCGGGUGUGAGAAAUGUGGUUUUUCGUAUCCAACCCACUGUCAUCUACCCUUCAAAAUCCUUAUUAUUUCCCAAUUUAUUCUCUCUCUCCAGCACCCCCAUCCAUUCUCACUUCUCCCAUCUCUCUCUACCCUCUUUCUCCAAAAACUGCCCCACUACCCACGGUCCACAGUCGUUGCCGCCGCCGCCAUGCCCACCGAAUACGUCGCCUGCCGAUAUAAGAUCUCAUAGAAUCUAUUUUUUCGCUCUCUAUACCGGCGCUCCUCCCAUUCUCUCUUCCUCUCGCAUCUCUCUCUAUCCUCCCUCUCCAAAAAUUGCAUCGCCGUGAUGUCGCUGCGCCGUCACAAUGCCCACAGCAAUACAUCACCCGUUGAUCUGAGAGCGGCGUCGAUCUGAGAUCUCAGAGCAGAUCUGAGAGGCGUCGAUGGGUUCAGAUGGUUCGGUGCUGUGGUGGUGGUUUUACAGUUAUUGUGGUUGCGGUACGGUUUGGUUGCUAUGGUUUGUUAUGGUUGCAAUUAGUGUUGAGUCCCCCCCGCCCCCCCCAUAAAUGUAAUUACGACAGAUCAAAUCCUCAUGUGGUGGUGAUAAGGUAGUCGUCGGUGGGGUAGUAGAGUAGUCUUACCGUUGAUUAAAUUAUUUCUCACUCCGAUUUGAUCAAAAACUAAUAGAAAUAGUUUGUCUCAUUUUUCUAUUUUUUUUUUUAUUUUAAUUAUAUGAAAACAGUUAAAGAUACUUUUUUGAUAUGAUUGUUAAGCGUUAGGAUUCUUGAAUUACCAAAUUUUGCAAUUUAGUCCCUCUUUUAAUUCUCUCCAUCAUUUUUGAUGGUUAACUGUAAAUUACGCAUUUUGGUCUUUCAACUUCUAUUCAUGUGCAAAUUAGUCCACAUUCCAUCCAAUGGCCAAAUCAUCUUUCUUUCUUUUCAUACUUAGAAACAGAAAGAAAUUAAACGACAUUAAGUAGAAACCAACACUUUGUCGACAUAAAGCUUAGUAAUUAAGAAGCAUCGACAUGGACACUUCGGUCCGUAUCCGACAUCGAUACAUUGACGCCGACAGCAUGUCCAUGCUUGCCAGUUUAGUAAUAUGAUUCGAAUAAGUGCACAAAAUGCACUUAUAAGUAAGGUUGGCCCUAGGUGGGGGUAGAGGAGUAUCUUAAGCAUUACACUUAAAUGAUGCUGCUAUUACCCAUUUCUGAUGCUAUUGUGCAUUAAACUCCUUAAUUAUGUUGGAUCAAAUUCAGGAUGAGCUGCGAGGUGGUGUUGCAUUACUUGUAUUUGCCAACAAGCAAGAUCUCCCCCAUGCAAUGACUACAGCUGAAAUAGCAGACAAGCUUGACCUGUACUCGCUGAGGAAUCGUGACUGGUAAACAAAUCUUGAUUCUUUAUUGCCAUUGGUCUUUGUUCAUUAGUUUUUUACCUUAAUUGUUUUUGCUUACUUUGCUUCCAGGUACAUCCAGUGCACCUGUCCCACGUCUGGAAAGGGGCUUUACGAGGGUCUCGACUGGCUCUCUAUUACCAUUCUUUACAAGGUAAGUUCUGUUUAUCCAACAAUGUCGAUGCGCUUUCUUUUUAAUUUGUAUUCGGUUCAGUUUCUCACAGUUGCUCCCUUCUUGCAGGCAUGAGGUCUGAGCUGAUUCCGAGUUGGAAGUUGAGGUUUAUCGAUUAUUAAUCAUAUACAAACGAAUUGUCUGUGUGUGUUUUGUUCAGAACUUCUUAUGUUGUCUGAUGCGUGUUACUGCAAACAUAUGUUCAGUUAUAUUAUUCUUUUAAGACCUUAUUUGGUUUGGAUUAAAUGUUUUUA
rnacentral:lncRNA from 1 species